GGAAUGGAUGGAUUAUCUGUAAAAUCCGGCAGUGGUCCAAAACACUUGGAACUUCUUGUCCAAUGGACCACCAAAGAAGAAGGAAAAUGUCCUGGAGCAAUUUGGUACAGUGAUGAACCAGAUAUGUCAUUGUUCUCUCCUCAAGAUUUCAAUGCCGUAUCUGCGUACUUUAGAGCUUUUGACAAACUGUCGAGGAAAGGAAUCAUUCAACCGGGCGAGAGCAACACAAGGCUCCGUGAUAUCGUUUAUGAUGAGUUGAAAAAUUUCAACGCUCCUACGUCGAAAAAUGGUUUUGAAAGUGCGACAGGUCUUCCUUCAUAUUUUGACGAAAAUUAAGAUGCUCCACCGUACUAUGACAUCAAAAAUUUUGCGAACAAAAAGUGGGUUACUGUUGGCUAUUGGGAACGUACUAGAUUGUUGUCGCUUCAACCCGGCAAGAUAAGAUGGCCUGGCGACACGAUGC